rnacentral:rRNA from 1 species
CGGUGGAGGUAUGUGGUUUAAUUCGAUGCAACGCGAAGAACCUUACCUGGUCUUGACAUCCCGGAGACCCUUAGGAAACUAGGGGGUGCUUCCAUCUGGAAGAAUCUGGAGACAGGUGCUGCAUGGCUGUCGUCAGCUCGUGUCGUGAGAUGUUGGGUUAAGUCCCGCAACGAGCGCAACCCUUGCCUUUAGUUGCCAGCAGUUCGGCUGGCACUCUAAAGGGACUGCCGGUGUUAAACCGGAGGAAGGUGGGGAUGACGUCAAGUCCUCAUGGCCUUUAUGACCAGGGCUACACACGUACUACAAUGGCCGAUACAAAGGGCAGCGACACUGCGAGGUGAAGCCAAUCCCGUAAAAUCGGUCUCAGUCCGGAUUGGAGUCUGCAACUCGACUCCAUGAAGUUGGAAUCGCUAGUAAUCGUGGAUCAGCAUGCCACGGUGAAUACGUUCCCGGGCCUU